GAUGAAGAACGCAGCGAAAUGCGAUAAGUAAUGUGAAUUGCAGAAUUCAGUGAAUCAUCGAAUCUUUGAACGCACAUUGCGCCCGCCAGUAUUCUGGCGGGCAUGCCUGUUCGAGCGUCAUUUCAACCAUCAAGCCCCCGGGCUUGUGUUGGGGACCUGCGGCUGCCGCAGCCCCUGAAAAGCAGUGGCGGUGCCAUCUGGCUCUACGCGUAGUAAUACUCCUCGCGACAGAGUCCCGGUGGUGUCCUGCCAGAACCCCCCAUCUUUUUAAUGAUUGACCUCGGAUCAGGUAGGGAUACCCGCUGAACUUAAGCAUAUCAAUAAGCGGAGGA
rnacentral:misc_RNA from 1 species